UGAGUACGAGAUGCUACGGCAUCGAAGCAGUCUAUGUCAUACUUCCAAGAAAAGCUUGCAAUGUCAUAAACAAAUAAUUCCUGUACCAUAACCGACACAGGUGGGUAGGUAGAGUAUACUAAGGGGCGCGAGAUAACUCUCUCUAAGGAACUCGGCAAAAUGACUCCGUAACUUCGGGAGAAGGAGUGCCUUAUUUUUAUAAGGUUGCAAUAACAAGAUCCAAGCAACUGUUUACCAAAAACACAGGUCUCCGCUAAGUCGUAAGACGAUGUAUGGGGGCUGACGCCUGCCCAGUGCCAGAAGGUUAAAGAAGUUGGUUAGCAUUAGCGAAGCUGAUAACUGAAGCCCUGGUGAACGGCGGCCGUAACAAUAACGGUCCUAAGGUAGCGAAAUUCCUUGUCGGGUAAGUUCCGACCCGCACGAAAGGCGUAAUGAUUUGGAUACUGUCUCGGAGAGGGGCUUGGUGAAAUAGACUUGUCUGUGAAGAUGCGGACUACCUGCACCUGGACAGAAAGACCCUAUGAAGCUUUACUGUAACUUGAGAUUGAAAUUGGACUUUAUCUGCGCAGUAUAGGUGGGAGACGUUGAAAAUAUUCUUGCGGGAAUAUUGGAGUCAUCAGUGAGAUACCACUCUUAUAAUGUUAGAUUUCUAACUUUGUAUCAUUAUCUGGUCAAAGAACAGUUUCAGGCGGGCAGUUUGACUGGGGCGGUCGCCUCCCAAACGGUAACGGAGGCGCACAAAGGUUUCCUCUGAACGUGUAGAAAUCGUAUCUAGAGUGUAAAGGCAUAAGGAAGCUUGACUGUGAGACCUACAAGUCGAGCAGGGACGAAAGUCGGUCUUAGUGAUCUGACGGUGCUGAGUGGAAAGGCCGUCACUCAACGGAUAAAAGUUACUCUAAGGAUAACAGGCUGAUCUCCCCCAAGAGUUCACAUCGACGGGGAGGUUUGGCACCUCGAUGUCGGCUCAUCGCAUCCUGGGGCGGUAGUACGUCCCAAGGGUUGGGCUGUUCGCCCAUGAAAGCGGUACGCGAGCUGGGUUCAGAACGUCGUGAGACAGUUCGGUCCAUAUCCGGUGUAGGCGUUAGAAUAUUGAGAGGAGCCUUCUUUAGUACGAGAGGACCGAGAAGGACAUACCUCUGGUGUACCAGUUAUCGUGCCAACGGUAAACGCUGGGUAGCCAUGUAUGGAGAGGAUAACCGCUGAAAGCAUCUAAGUGGGAAGCCCACCUCAAGAUAAGUAUUCUCA
rnacentral:rRNA from 1 species